rnacentral:tRNA from 1 species
GCCAGUGUGGUGUAGUGGUUUGAUUGUUGGAGUAUGACUCUGGAGAUCAGGGUUCAAUUCCCUGUUCUGCA